ACAGUACGAACUGCUUGCUGCUGCGGGAGUCAUGGCAGGACAGGCAUUUAGAAAGCUUCUUCCCCUCUUUGACCGAGUAUUAGCUGAAAGGAGUGCUGCGGAAACUGUAACCAAAGGAGGCAUUAUGCUUCCAGAAAAAUCUCAAGGAAAAGUGUUGCAAGCAACAGUAGUAGCUGUUGGAUCCGGCUCUAAAGGAAAGGGUGGAGAGAUUCAACCAGUUAGCGUGAAAGUUGGAGAUAAAGUUCUUCUUCCAGAAUAUGGAGGCACCAAAGUAGUUAUAGAGGACAAGGAUUAUUUCUUAUUUAGGGAUGGUGACAUCCUUGGAAAGUAUGUAGACUGAAAUAAAUCACUAUUGACAUGGCAUCACGUGAAGCUGCCCAUUCCACUGAAGUUCUGAAAUCUCAUCAUGUAAAUAAUUUCCAUGUUUCUCUUUUGUAAUAA